rnacentral:rRNA from 1 species
AACGAACGCUGGCGGCAUGCCUAACACAUGCAAGUCGAACGAGAUCUUCGGGUCUAGUGGCGCACGGGUGCGUAGCGCGUGGGAAUCUGCCCUUUGGUUCGGAAUAACAGUUGGAAACGACUGCUAAUACCAGAUGAUGACGAAAGUCCAAAGAUUUAUCGCCAGAGGAUGAGCCCGCGUAGGAUUAGCUAGUUGGUGUGGUAAAGGCGCACCAAGGCGACGAUCCUUAGCUGGUCUGAGAGGAUGAUCAGCCACACUGGGACUGAGACACGGCCCAGACUCCUACGGGAGGCAGCAGUGGGGAAUAUUGGACAAUGGGCGAAAGCCUGAUCCAGCAAUGCCGCGUGAGUGAUGAAGGCCUUAGGGUUGUAAAGCUCUUUUACCCGGGAUGAUAAUGACAGUACCGGGAGAAUAAGCUCCGGCUAACUCCGUGCCAGCCGCCGCAGUAA